rnacentral:rRNA from 1 species
AGUGAACGCUGGCGGUAGGCCUAACACAUGCAAGUCGAACGGCAGCACAGUAAGAGCUUGCUCUUACGGGUGGCGAGUGGCGGACGGGUGAGGAAUACAUCGGAAUCUACUUUUUCGUGGGGGAUAACGUAGGGAAACUUACGCUAAUACCGCAUACGACCUACGGGUGAAAGCAGGGGAUCUUCGGACCUUGCGCGAUUGAAUGAGCCGAUGUCGGAUUAGCUAGUUGGCGGGGUAAAGGCCCACUAAGGCGACGAUCCGUAGCUGGUCUGAGAGGAUGAUCAGCCACACUGGAACUGAGACACGGUCCAGACUCCUACGGGAGGCAGCAGUCGGGAAUAUUGGACAACGGGCGCAAGCCUUAUCCAGCCAUAGCGCGUGGGUGAAGAAGGCCUUCGGGUUGGAAAGCCCUUUUGUUGGUAAAGAAAAGCAGCAGGUUAAUACCCCGCUGUCCUGACGGUACCCAAAGAAUAAGCACCGGCUAACUUCGUG